ensembl:snoRNA SCARNA10 small Cajal body-specific RNA 10
GCCAUAUGAUGAUCUCCAGGCUAUUGUUACUUGGCUGGUCUGGUUGAGCCCUAGGACCCUUACCUUGCAUCCAGGUCUGUAAUCUUGGUGGGCAAUACAGAGCUGUGUUUGUUUGCUGUAAGGGCAGACCGACAAGAAGUUCCACCUCUUUUGCUCCCAUCUUCCCCUAAGGGGAGUGAUCCUGCUGCUACUGAAAGAUCCAGGUAACUGCAGUAGAGCAGAGGUAACAGGGCAAGCCUAGGUACUGAGGUCAAGGGUCCCAGAAGGCUUAGCUUAUGUUAUAGCCGCCAAGAGAUGAGCACAGAUCUUUGGUAAUCUGAUGGCU